GACAGAGGGUGCAAACGUUGUUCGGAAUUACUGGGCGUAAAGGGCGCGUAGGCGGCCAGCACAAGUCAGUUGUGAAAUCUCCGAGCUUAACUCGGAAAGGUCAACUGAUACUGUGCGGCUAGAGUGCGGAAGGGGCAACUGGAAUUCUUGGUGUAGCGGUGAAAUGCGUAGAUAUCAAGAGGAACACCUGCGGCGAAGGCGGGUUGCUGGGCCGACACUGACGCUGAGGCGCGAAAGCCAGGGGAGCGAACGGG
rnacentral:rRNA from 1 species